UCUCUCUCUCUCUCUCUCUAAAUUAUCUAUUUCUUAAAAUACUCAAAAAAAAAAAAUUUAGCUGUUCCGUGAAAAAUGUCAGCUCCUACUCCCACGUCUCCGCCGUCGACUAACACCACCGCGCCUCCUCCGUCUACCAAUACUACCGCUCCUCCGCCAGCCACCCCUGCUGCCCCUCCACCCGCCACUCCGGCUGCUCCUCCUCCAUCUACUCCAGCAGCUCCUCCUCCUGCUACCCCGUCAGCUCCACCACCCGCCACUCCUGCAGCUCCUCCACCUGCCACCCCAUCAGCUCCUCCACCUGCCACUCCAUCCCCUCCUG
rnacentral:misc_RNA from 1 species